UGAGGAAUAUUGGUCAAUGGGCGAGAGCCUGAACCAGCCAAGUAGCGUGCAGGAUGACGGCCCUAUGGGUUGUAAACUGCUUUUAUAUGGGAAUAAAGUGAGGGACGUGUCCCUUAUUGCAUGUACCAUACGAAUAAGGACCGGCUAAUUUCGUGCCAGCAGCCGCGGUAAUACGGAAGGUCCAGGCGUUAUCCGGAUUUAUUGGGUUUAAAGGGAGCGUAGGCUGUUUGUUAAGCGUGUUGUGAAAUGUAAGAGCUCAACUUUUAGAUUGCAGCGCGAACUGGCAGACUUGAGUGCGCACAACGUAGGCGGAAUUCAUGGUGUAGCGGUGAAAUGCUUAGAUAUCAUGACGAACUCCGAUUGCGAAGGCAGCUUACGGGAGCGCAACUGACGCUAAAGCUCGAAGGUGCGGGUAUCGAACAGG
rnacentral:rRNA from 1 species